ACGAGUAUGAGCUCACCGUAUGAGUCCACUUGCAUAUCCCAAUUAGAAGAAAGAAAACUCGUAGAAAAUCAUUUCGCUCCCAAUCUCGCAUGCCCUAGUUCUCUUUCUUUCGCCGUGCCAUCUUUAGUCCCCGCCAACAAUGUUUUUCCAUUCUUCUCAACCGAUUUCCAUUGUUGUCUCGAGUCUAAACCAAAAGUCCUACUUAAUUGUGAUAUCAAACUUUGGCGACCUAUGUUGCAGUCAGUGAAAUAUAUUUGGAUCUCCCUCUAUGAAUACAAGGGUCUCAUUGGGAGGAAAUGCUUCUAAUGAAUGAGAUUAUGACCAUGGAUGGUACAAAGCCAAUUAUAGCAUGAAAGACCUUUUUGAUUGGAGGUUCUAACCAAGGACGGGCAUGUGAAUUACUUUUAAUUUAAAAUGGAAUAAUGAAGAAAUGAUAUUGGAGGAAUGCAUCUAUAAGUAUAUGGGA